rnacentral:rRNA from 1 species
CCUACGGGUGGCAGCAGUGGGGAAUAUUGGACAAUGGGGGGAACCCUGAUCCAGCCAUGCCGCGUGUGUGAAGAAGGCUCUCGGGUUGUAAAGCACUUUCAGUGAGGAAGAACGCCUGGUGGUUAAUACCCAUCAGGAAAGACAUCACUCACAGAAGAAGCACCGGCUAACUCCGUGCCAGCAGCCGCGGUAAUACGGAGGGUGCGAGCGUUAAUCGGAAUUACUGGGCGUAAAGCGCGCGUAGGUGGCUUGAUAAGCCGGUUGUGAAAGCCCCGGGCUCAACCUGGGAACGGCAUCCGGAACUGUCAAGCUAGAGUGCAGGAGAGGAAGGUAGAAUUCCCGGUGUAGCGGUGAAAUGCGUAGAGAUCGGGAGGAAUACCAGUGGCGAAGGCGGGCUUCUGGACUGACACUGACACUGAGGUGCGAAAGCGUGGGUAGCAAACAGGAUUAGAUACCCCUGUAGUC